rnacentral:tRNA from 1 species
GGGCCUGUAGGAUGGUUCCUCGGCAGCAUUCCUAAGCUCCGCCGCUUCGGGUUCGAUUCCCGACAGGUCCA